UAUUGACUAAUGUUGUGACUAAAUGUUAAAACACAUAUGACAUGCGAUUUAUUUGAUGACCGAUAUAUUUACAUUAAACAAACUUUAAUCAUUCUGAUUAAUAUUAAAAUCUAUCCAACAUCUAGGUUAUUUCUAGCGUCGUCGUCUUCUCCUCUCCUCUGUUCCACCAUCAUUACCUUCGACCAUUAUACACAGAUAAAUUUGCAUGAAACAAAGAACAAAGUGGAAUUUAGGGUUGGUGGACUGAUUCGUGACCAGCAAUUCUCUUUGAUUCGAUCAAGAGUUUUUGCUUCUUUCAAUCAUUUAGAGAAAGGAAUCUUCAGAUAUCAGGUCCGGUUGAUCCAUACGAAAGGCCAUAGCUCAGGUCAGUCACUAUCUGAGUGGAACAGAGACGAGUGAAUUUUUGAGUCAAUGCCAAAAAGAUAUUUAGAAGAUGCGAAAGCUCCUAAGCAAGCUUUCCCUUCACACGUUUCUGUAUGGUUUUAGACGUGCGGAUCAGGCAUUCAAAAGAUCAAGGUCAAAGUUUUGGAUGUUGAUGCCUUUUUCAUAUCACACAUCCAACUGAACCAAGCAGCAAAACAGAGGUGGAGGACUUAUCGUGUACUGUAAGAAUCCAUGGUUUCGAUUAUAUUCGAUCUCCGACCAUAUUUGUCAUUUUUGCCAAGGCAAAAGAUUCUGUCCUCGCAUAUGCCAGGGACUCAUACUUAUUUAAAAGCCAUUCUUUGUAUUUUUCCUUUUCUGCCUCAUAUUACAUACAACACCUAUGUAAUGGGGUGCCAUAUCGAAAGAUUUUGUUCCUGGGUUUCUUUGUCUACACCAUCACCAAGUCGCGGAGACUAGUAACACUUCAAAGGAAAAGGUGGUAGACAAUGAGUGCUAUUUCGAAUCUGAAGAUGCAGAUUUGAAAAACCGGCAAACAAUUUUCGUUCUGGGAUUUGAUUGUUCCUUUCCUAAGGAUGAAAUAAAGAGAACAUUGAUUAAACACUUCAGUUCUUGUGGAGAGGUCUCAAGGGUUUAUAUUCCUUUUCAUUGUGAUACUGGCUCUCCCAUGGGUUUUGCUUUCAUUAAUAUGGGAAAUCGAGACAAGGCUUUAACACUCGAUGGAAGUUACUUGGGAGGGAUGAGACUUACGGUUACAAUGGCUAUAAAGAGAAGUGAAUACUAUGGAUAUACCAACCGUCGUGGCUGUCAACGUUGUGGUAUUGCUUCAACGAAGCGGUUUAGGAAACGCUUCUAUGAGGAUUGCAGACUACGAAUCCCGUUAGAGCCUAGCAAUACCUAGCAAGAUCAAGAAGCUACUGCUUUACCCGACCAGCUACAUCAUCCUUUGUAUUCUAAGAUGCCUUGUUUUAGCAUUCUGCUACUUAUGCGCAUUAUUUAUGUCUAAAUUAAAUGUUGAAUCUUUUUCUUUUGUCAACUGUUUGAAUCUUUUUUUUUUAUUUUAUGAAAACUUGUUAUUUCUUUUUAUUUAUU